rnacentral:lncRNA from 1 species
UUGUGAAGGUAAUAGAACCUCCCCUAAACUAGUUCUUUUUUCUUUUUCCAUUGUUUAUUCUACCUGUUUUUUCUUCUUUUUCUUUUUUAGUUCUUUAUUUAUAUUUUUUGUUAUUUCUUUUCUUUUAUGUUAUCUUUUUCUUUUCUUUUAUGUCCCUGGUGAUGGAGAACAAAUCAACGGUUCAGAGCUAUUCCGAUGGAUUGAUAGGACCAGUCAUCUGAGGUGGAGAGUUUCCAUUGCUAGUUUAGUUUUCCACACAUGUGGUAGAGAAAAAGUCAUGCACAGCAGCACAGGCACGCACGGUCACCGCCGUAGUAACAGACUCAUACUGUGCUACGCACACGUAAAUCCAAUCCAUAUCCAACACCGUGUAACCUUGUUUUGUUUCAAAAAACUCUUAAAAAAAGGGCGUAAACCUAAUCGGAGGCUACCAUGGACACCGUCUUCAAGUGGGAAACCUCAGGUAUGUGGUGAAUAUAUAUACACACGUAUACCCACAACUACUAGCAAUCCCGAGCUCUAGUACAUCGCUGUGUUUGUUUACCUUUUUUUUCUUCUUUGUUUUUUUCUUUCUUCUCCACUUACGCCAUGAUGACUUCCAAUGAGCAGAAAAGCAAUAAGGCGCCGACUCCCGAGCUGCCGGACGAGCUUGUUUCAGAGAUCAUGACCCGACUGCCAGUCAAGUCUCUUAUUCGCUUCAAGUGCGUCAGCAAGGCAUGGCGCACAACCAUAUCCGACCCCUCCUUCGUCCGGUCGCACCUCAAGAUAUCCACCUCCAGAUGGGAGCAGAACCCAUCCUUGCUCAUCACCCCGCACACCCAGGAUCACGACGUCCAACGGUCCAAGGCAACAUUAGGUUCUACCAAUGGCAGCAAGGCGCCUCCGACGCUUCGCUCCUACACGCCUCGGACUUCACCGGCAAGUUUCGUUUGUUUCUCUGCUUCUGCCACUGCGACGCCCUUGUGCUCGUCUCGACGGACACCAAGAUGUACCUCAUCAACCCGGCCACCAGGGGCAUCGUCACGCUUCCAGAGAGCAGCCACUACCUGGUGCCCGCUUCCAUCCACCGCC